GAUGAACGCUGGCGGCGUGCCUAAUACAUGCAAGUCGAGCGAACAGACGAGGAGCUUGCUCCUCUGACGUUAGCGGCGGACGGGUGAGUAACACGUGGAUAACCUACCUAUAAGACUGGGAUAACUUCGGGAAACCGGAGCUAAUACCGGAUAAUAUAUUGAACCGCAUGGUUCAAUAGUGAAAGACGGUUUUGCUGUCACUUAUAGAUGGAUCCGCGCCGCAUUAGCUAGUUGGUAAGGUAACGGCUUACCAAGGCGACGAUGCGUAGCCGACCUGAGAGGGUGAUCGGCCACACUGGAACUGAGACACGGUCCAGACUACUACGGGAGGCAGCAGUAGGGAAUCUUCCGCAAUGGGCGAAAGCUUGACGGAGCAACGCCGCGUGAGUGAUGAAGGUCUUCGGAUCGUAAAACUCUGUUAUUAGGGAAGAACAAAUGUGUAAGUAACUAUGCACGUCUUGACGGUACCUAAUCAGAAAGCCACGGCUAACUACGUG
rnacentral:rRNA from 1 species